GAUGAACGCUGGCGGCGUGCCUCAAACAUGCAAGUCGAGCGAGGCUAUGAAUUACCGCAAGGUAAGGCAUAGCCUAGCGGCGAACGGGUGAGUAACACGUGGGUAACCUACCUGGAAGACAGGGAUAACGAUUCGAAAGGGUCGCUAAUACCUGAUAACAUCCAUCUGCCGGAUGGCGGAGGGAAGAAAGGGGAAACCCGCUUUCAGAUGGGCCCGCGUCCCAUCAGCUAGUUGGUAAGGUAAAGGCUUACCAAGGCGACGACGGGUAGCCGGUCUGAGAGGAUGUACGGCCACACUGGGACUGAGAUACGGCCCAGACUCCUACGGGAGGCAGCAGUUGGGAAUCUUAGGCAAUGGACGAAAGUCUGACCUAGCGACGCCGCGUGAGGGAAGAAGGCCUUCGGGUUGUAAACCUCUGUCAUGGGGAAGAAGGAAGUGACGGUACCCCAAGAGGAAGCCCCUGCUAACUACGUG
rnacentral:rRNA from 1 species